UACGAAGGGGGCUAGCGUUGCUCGGAAUCACUGGGCGUAAAGCGCACGUAGGCGGAUUGUUAAGUCAGGGGUGAAAUCCUGGAGCUCAACUCCAGAACUGCCUUUGAUACUGGCGAUCUCGAGUCCGGGAGAGGUGAGUGGAACUGCGAGUGUAGAGGUGAAAUUCGUAGAUAUUCGCAAGAACACCAGUGGCGAAGGCGGCUCACUGGCCCGGUACUGACGCUGAGGUGCGAAAGCGUGGGGAGCAAACAGGG
rnacentral:rRNA from 1 species